rnacentral:siRNA from 1 species
GCAUAUUUAGACUUGCAGC